rnacentral:rRNA from 1 species
UGGGGAAUCAUGGUCAAUGGGCGAAAGCCUGAACCUGCAACGCCGCGUGAGUGAUGAAGGUCGUAGGAUCGUAAAACUCUUUUCAGGGACCUUAAAGCCUGUCUGUCAACAACAGGCAGGUCUGACUCUCCCUGUAAGAAGCCCCAGCCAACUACGUGCCAGCCGCUGCGGUAAUACGUAGGGGGCGAGCGUUAUUCGGAAUGACUGGGUGUAAAGGGUAUGUAGGCGGCCCUUCAAGUCGCUUGUCAAAGUCCAGUGCUCAACGAUGGGUGUGCAGGCGAUACUGACGGGCUUGAGGGCUGGAGAGGGGAGCGGAAUUACCGGUGUAGUGGUAAAAUACGUAGAGAUCACGAGGAACACCAGCGGCGCAGGCGGCUCACUAGACAGUUUCUGACGCUAAGAUACGAAAGCGUGGGGAGCAAACA